GGUUGUAUAGUGUAGCGAUUAUCACAUCGGAUUCUGACUCUGUCCUCCGGUUUCAGUUCUUCCGGGAACCCCCGUUCGAUUCCGGGUACGACCU